rnacentral:lncRNA from 1 species
UGGGUUCCUCACAGUUCCUUUAACAGAGUAACCUUUCUCUAGAAGAAGUUUAACAAUCCAUGAAGCAAUGAAGCCACCAGCCCCGGUGACACAGACAGUUUGGCCUUGGCAUGGAAGUGAUGAAGUAUCGACAGGCAUGUUGUUUUGAUAUGUGUAUUAUUAUGUGUGCGUGUUUGGUCGUAGAACGAAGGAAGAGAGACAGAGAGAGGGAGGUGUUUUCCUUUUCUCUUGAUUUAGGAAGCGGAUGCUACAAGGAAAGAAGUGGUGGAGUGGAUGUAUUUAUAAUUAAGGUUUAGAGUUACCUUCCUCACCCACUACCGGUAAAUAUUUACCAAAGAGAGAUUCUCUCUUUCCAUUAUUUUUCUUUCCUUGAGGUUUGUGACUGAGUUUUUGUGAUAGGAAUCGUCAGCACCGUGUGUGGAAUCCUGAUUGUUUUGUAAAUGUGUUUUUUUGACCGAACGUGCAUGCUGUUUUUGACCAAAAUGUAAUUAUAAGCUACUAAUAAAUUAAGAAAUGAAAAUAUAUUAUACACAACGACCCAUUAAAUGGUUGUAGAUCACAAGUAGAAAGCAGUACUUAAUUUAAUUUGUUUUGGAAGGGGAGAGAGGGAAAGGAUCUCAUGGAUGACAAGUGUUCAUGUUAAAGAAUAUUUGGUUAUUAUAAUUUUUUUUGUUUUAAAUUAUAAUUUUUAAAAUGUUUUUUAAUUGUUUUAAUGUACUAAUAUUAAAAUUUUUUUUUAAAAAAUAUAUAUAUUAUUUUAAUAUAUUUUCAAACAAAAGAAACUUUCAAAAUUAUUAUUUAUUAUAAUUCUAAACACUAUCAUAGCACAUUGAUUACGAUAUCAUGUUCUUGUAAGCAUACUUUUCUCGAACCCCAUGUGAAUCAUGUCUCUUAAGAAAGUUGACCAGUAAAUGAAUGUCCACUGAUUAAUUAAUACAAGUAAACCAGCAAAGAAUCUGGUGGGGAAAAAAUGUAAUAAGCUACUAAUAAAUCUUACAUGGAAAACUUAUUGUUUUAUGUAUGUAUUUUUUGGACCAAAAGUGCAUGCAUGUUGUUUUUGACCAGUCUCCGGUUCUCUUGUUCUUCUUUGGCGUUUACAUCAAACUUAACUAUUAAUAGAUGAAUGUAUCGAAAUAAUGAAAUCUCCAAGGAUAUUACUAUGUUUGUUUUUAUUAUUAUUAUUAUUAUUAUUAUUAUUAUUAUUUGGAUUAGAUAAAAAAAAAUGGUCAUAUAUAUCAUAGUUUUUCUCGGAUAAUUACAAAACAAAAUACAUUAAUUGAUUAUGGAAAUGCAUAGUUGAAUCUAUAUAUCAUAUGUGCACCAUGCAUGUUUUUUUCUUUUUUUUUAAUUUCCCUAUUCAACAAUGCUCAUGACCAUCAACGUUUACCUUUUGGUCAAAUCAUAUAGAUAUAUAUAAUCUAUCCAUGUUUCUUGUUUCUUGCAUGUAUAAAGAAAGACCCAAUCACAUCAAUUAUUAAUGGUUGAUCCUGAGAGUCCUUCUCUUCCGAGUAACUUCAAAAAUAUUUUCAUAUCUUCGACAAUUUCUUACGUCCAGUUCUCUUCUUUUCCCACUGAUUGACCUCGUCUCUUUUUCUUUUUCUUUUUCUUUUUUAUUGAACGUUUGUUUUUUAUUUAGACCAGCAUUUCCAUCAAAGGACAUGAUCUUUUACUCGGUACACCAACCAUAGUUGUUUGACGUUAUGGUCUCAUCUAUUUUUUAAAAUAUUUUUUGAAUUGGGUUUUUCUUGGAAGAAAUUUUAAAUUUAUAUAUUUUUUAUAAUUUUAAUAUAUUAAUGUUAAAAAUAAAAAUAAAAUCUGAAAAAAUAUUUUUUUUUAUUUCUUAUUAAAAAACACCUUACACCACCGCAUUACAAACACUAUCAAAAAUUUUCGACCCGUAGUGUUUUGAUCGUUGGAUGCUCGUAGUCGGUUUCAAGCACUCAAACUCCCGAGUUCAAGGCGAUGUUAGACUAACGAGUAUAGGAUCAAACGACCCAUCUUAAUGAAAAAUAUAAAUGACUCACUACGGAUUAUAAAAAACUUCGCUGAGUGGUAAUGGAGACGAGAUCACACAUGACUGGUUCAUGUGCUCUUUCCGAUUGACCCCAUGGUCCCAGCAACGACCAACCUCCUCCUCCUCCAGCAGCGCCUCUAUUUUAGAUUUAUUAUAUUUGAACGUAUAAAUGUUUAAAUUUGUAACAAAUAUUUAAUUUUUAUAUUAUUUUAAUUUCUUUUAAUUUAUUUGAUUUUAAUUAUUUUUCUACUUUUGUUCAAUAUAUAUUUUUUAAAAUAUUACUGACGGGAUUACUGAUGGACCAUAUCCGUCGGUAUAUUCCAAAGAUUUGGAAAAAAAAUAUUGUAAAUGUCACUUCUAUUGUUAACUCUUUGAUGGAAUUACAGAUGAUAUUCUGUUGGUGAUAUGCUAUUUUUACCGACGGAUAUACUGAUAGACAAAUAAAAACACUGACGAAAUUGCAUAUGGUAUUUUGUCGGUUAUAUGACGAACUUCCCAGGGGAAAUACUGACAUAAUGAAGUGGGUAAUUUAUUUAUUUUGCGCGCUUUGUCUGCCUUUUAAUCCAUUGAUAAAUUUAUUAACGACGGACUCACUAAUAGACCAUAAAUUACUAACAAAAGCUUUUUUGACAGACUAUUUUCGUCCAUGAACCUAUCGCUAAAAUAUUUGUCGAUGAACUGUGAGUAUAAAUAAUAACAAAAAUUUAUAUAAAUAAAACUUUUAAAUUCAAUAAUUCAUCUAAACAUUCAGAGCUACAACGCUUACGAAGGUCACAAGACUAAAGGAGAUCUUUAUCAAUACGAAAACUCUGAUGCAAGCUGGAAGGCGAGAAUUGUUCCUAAUCUGGCGGGCAACCGACUAAUGGGGAGUCCUAUGUUAAAUAGUAAAUCUGAUGGGAUGCGAGGGAUAUUAUUUACAGCAUCAAAUCUCCUAUAUUUUAGGAUAGAUCUCUUAUCACGAUGCCUUUUUUUCUGCAGGUUAAAUAAAGAAAGAGAGAAUCACACAGAAUCAGAAUCUGAUGGGAAAGGGAUUUUAUUCUUUAAUUUAAAUAUUAUUGUACAAAAUCUUCCAACAUUCAUUGCACUAAGUUGCUUUAUAUAUAUAUAUAUAUAUCAAAUGUCAACGAGAAAGUAAAAAAUAUACAAGCCUUAAAUUGACUAUCUUGUGCAAAUAUAUUGUUUCUUAAAAUCAUAAUAUAAUUUUGCUAAUGAAGAUUUGAAGAAAAAUCUGGAAAGGACCAUGAAAGAAAAAUAGGUUAGUAAUCACGUAAAAAUGUAACGGCCGGAGGCGGAAGGUGUCUCGAAGACUAAGAGAGUGUUUGUCUACGUUGUUGCGUCUGCGUUUUGCUUAAAUUACUAUUCAUGGGUCCCACCAAAUUAUGCGUUUGAAACGCUGGAAAAUGAAAGCAGGUAUUACCUUCUUCUUGCGGCUGCACCAUGCUGCACUCUUCAGUGAACAGUGCAGCAUGGUGCAGCCUUCGCACUGUUCACUAAAGUGAACAGUGCGAAUUUUGUUUUCUUCAAAAAAGCAGCGAACAGUGCGAGUGAAAUAUAAUUCACUCGCAUUGUACAUGAACAGUUUAUUUAUUUAUUUUUUUUCAAAAAGCCAGUUAACAUUUUUUUUUUGAAAAACCAGUGCAGUUAAUUAAUUUCACUCGCAUUGUUCACGUGAAUGUGAACAAUAUUUUUUUUUAAAAAAAUUAGUUUAAGGUGAAUUAAAUUUAUUCGUACUGUAAUUUCAAUUUUAUUCCUUUUAAUAUUUUACCUAAUUUUAUUGCACGCUCAAAGAAUCAUGGAAACUGUAGUUCUUGUCGGAUGAAUUUUGUAUGUAAUGGAAUUGUAGAUAGUUUAAUGGAACAAUAAAUUUUUUUUAUAUAAAGUAUGAUUUAUUUCAUGAUGUAAUAGCAAUAGUUAAAUUUACAAUAUUUAAAUUAAAAAUCAUAAAUAUUAAUAUAUAUAUUUUUAAAUCAUUUUAUAACCUUAAUUUCAAAAGCAUUCUUAACCAAACACAUUAAACUACUUUUUGUUCAACCUCAAUUUCAACCACAGUUUUAACCAAACAUAUAUUUUUUCAAACCAACCUCAACUAAAAAUACUUUUUAUAAAACAAUUUUUUUCAAACUCCAACCACAACAGCUAUCGCAAUACCAAACACACUCUAAAAUGUGGGGUAGGGCCACAUCCCUAACAUGCACAUAAGCUUUAACAGAGUUAGCAUAUGUCUUGGCUGAGCCGGUUACGUACUUGAGGACGUGACCGAUGCUAGCAUUGACAGUGGGUUGCAACAAUGGUCCAAGCACCGACACUAGGAUCACCACCACUAGGUCAACUCCUUUCUUCCUAGCCACAUCCCACGCAUCCUGUUCUGCCACAGUCUUUCCAUAGCAAUACCAAUUCUGCAAUUCCAAGAUGAACUUACAUCAAGAUGUGAAGGAUAAGCAAUUAGGAUUUCAAGAUGCAGUAAGCCCUAUGACGCAAGGAAUAAUGAAAUUACAUCACCAUAUCUUAGGGAUAUUUUUAUUUACACCUACUCUGUAUGCUUUGAGUAACCCAAGUGUAUGUGGGCACAAUAAUAUUUAUGUUAAUCAAUUAUCAUGACACGUGAUUAAUUAGCAUAUAUUUUAUAUCAUGUUGAUUUUAUGGCCGAUCCGUGCUCUAAUUAGGAGCUAUUUAAUUAUGUUAAUCAAUCAUCAUCACAUGUUAUUAAUUAAAUACCUUGGUGUUCUUGCAGAACUCAAGAUCACUCCAGCAAGAUUCAUCAACGACAACAUCCACUACCAGAAAACCGAAGAAAACCAACGGAAUUACCGACGGACAAAUUCCGUCGGUAAUUAAUUCCGUCUCAAAAUCUGUCGGUAUAUACCGACGGCCUAGCUCCGUCGGAGAAACGGUCGGUAUAUACCGACAGAAAUAUUUUGUCGGUAUAUACCGACCGUUUCUCCGACGGAGUAUACAGUUUGUCUGGAAAGAUGCAACGGCGUGGUGACGUGGAGUUUUUUCAGAUGAUUUUACCGACGGAAUGACCGAGGGAUUCAAACUGAGAUAGUUGUACAGUGACGUGGCACUGUCACCGACGGAAUCACCGAUGGAAUUAAUCCGUCGGUGAUUCCAUCGGAAAAAACCAUUAUAUACCCACCCUAUCUGCCGACACUCUCUUCAUCUGUUUCUCCUUCUUCUUCUUUCCCAUCCCACCUCUCCCCUCCCAAACUGCAGUCAACCACCCAUCCCGACUCUCCACUAUUCUCAACACAAGCACUCAAGUUUCUUAUAUCUUGUACGUGGUCACAAUAUCCGUUUCUUGUGGAUUUUAUCAUUUUUUAUGGUAUUAAUUUUUGUUCAUGCUUGUUAAAUCUUUUUGAGAUAGCAUAUAUAUUUUUAGUAUUUUUCCAUUCAUAAUUGGUAUUAGUAACUAGAACAAGAAGUAGAUAAAUUCUGUCACUUUAAUUUAUUAAGGAGGAAUGAAUCAUGUUUAAUUAUUCAAGCUUUUGAAUGGUUGAUGUGCUCUUAAAGUUAUUAUCGAGUGAAUGAGAAUUGUUUCUCAAUAUUGAAUUUGCUUGAUGAUAAAGAGUUAAAAACUUAGUCUAAUUUAUUUAUUAUUAAUCUUCAUGAUUUCUCUUAGUUUUAAGAGAAAUUAAGUUUAUUUAUUUGAAUUGAAAGGAUAGUCAUUUCACUUCUAUGAUCGUAUAACCCUUUGAACUAAGAUAACAAAAUAUAUAGUAAUUACCUUUUAAGUUUUCCAAAUUUCAUUGCUUUUCUGAUUUCUGUCUUAUUCAUACUCCCUUGUCUUAAUUUUUUUAAUUUCAGUGCUUCAUAGACUUAGCUAAAAUUUCUCUUGGAUUCGACAGGGUAUCACCAUCAUACUGCUAGAUAUUGUUUAGGUGAUAGUUAAAAUCGGAAUUAAUAUUUGGAGAUUCUGACAACGGACCCAUUUUUAGCUUGUUUUGGGAUUGGAAGGUGACCCUUUUCCUGCAAGCUCUUAACAGAUUCAUACAAGCACUGUUUUACUGGGGUGAAUUCGAUGCCCAGAUCCUUGAUCUUCUGGUUUGUGAACUUGUAGGGUUGUUUUCUUGGGUUCUUCUCAUCUGAACACCUGCAAAUGCAUUGCAAUACAAAAUAUUAAUAUUCAAGAUUAAUAAUAAUAAAAAAACACAGCACAAUUAAUUCUUUCUACAAACUUGGUAGGUUUUUUUCUACAAAAUAUUAAUAUUCACUAGCUCAUUAAGCACUACAAUUAGACAAACAAGUACUGUAGCAUAUAAUUGCAUGAGAUUAGGAUUUAGGACCCAAUAAUCCUCUUCCUAACUCUCCAUGACAAAAUUUGAAAAUAUAUAACAAAGCAAUUUAACAGAGUAACCUUUCUCUAGAAGAAGUUUAACAAUCCAUGAAGCAAUGAAGCCACCAGCCCCGGUGACACAGACAGUUUGGCCUUGGCAUGGAAGUGAUGAAGUAUCGACAGGCAUGUUGUCUUGAUAUAUGUAUUAUUAUGUGUACGUGUUUGGUGGUAGAACGAAGGAAGAGAGACAGAGAGAGGGAGGUGUUUUCCUUUUCUUUUAAUUUAUAUUUGUUUUAUAUAAGACCAAAGUCUGAAGAUGCAAGGGAAUUCAUUUUGAUUCCGAUGAAUUUUCUAAAUGAUAAAAUAAGAUAAUAUGACAGAUUCAUAUUACAGGUGUUAAUAGUUCCAUAUUAUGUAUUGAAAUAUCUACAACAGUUAUCGAUCAAUAUUGUAAUAUGAAAGAAACUAAAAGAACAUAAAAUUUAACAUAUUUUGACAUUGUGUUUACUUUCAUAUGAACGAGGAGUUUCUAUUUUCAUUAUAUGUCGAAUACGAUUACAUAACAUAUAUUUAUAGAUAUUAAAUUGCUUAAGGGAUAUUAAAAAAAUAUUAAUAAUACCAAUUUAUUAUACCGCGGGCAUCAUUGCCCCCACACCCUAUCAAUAAUCUCUAGCAAAAAAACAAGAAAUAAAUCCCAUAGAGUUAGAUGUUAUCAUUGCAAAGAUUAUCUUCUAUAACCAGCACCAACAAAUCAUAUAUAUAUGGUAUUUUUUAUUGCAAUGAUUAUUUUCCAUAACCAGCACGAAUCAAAUCAUAUAUCUAUGGUAUUUUAUAUUGCAGUAAUUAUAUAUGAUUCAGUAAUUAUCUCCUUGACAUAUUGCUUCCUUAAUAUUAGCCCUCAUGCUCUAUGUUAUCGUCACAUAUAAACCUUUAUUUUUUUAUUUUUUAUUUUUGAAAUUUAUCAAAACAUGGGUCAAAAAUUGGGUAGCAACACGGCUUAUCAAAAGGAAAAAGUCAUCGCCUUCCUUUUUCUAGUUCUCAAUCAAUCUCUAAUCAUCCUCUUGAAUUAAUUUUCUCCAAUGUUUGGAAUCCAUCUCCUAGCAUGUCAACCAAUGGCAAUAAAUACUAUGUUUCGUUUGUUGAUCAUUUUAGCAAAUUUAUAUGGUUAUUUCUAAUCCCUAACAAAUCAAGUGUCAUGCAAAUUUUUUGUUCAUUUCAAAAACUUGUUGAAUGCCAAUUUAAUUGUAAGAUAAACUCUGUACAAACUGAUUGGGAUGAGAAAUAUCGCUCUCUUCACACAUAGUUUGCAAAUAUUGGCAUUCAACACCGAAUCUCAUGCCCUCAUAUGUCCCAACAAAAUAGAUUCGUUGAACGAAAACACCGUCACAUCGUUGAAACGGGCCUCUUACUCUUAUCCCAUAGUCAUGUUCCUCACACCUAUUGGGAUAAUGUUUUUCUCAUGGCCACAUAUCUCAUUAAUUUCCUUCCCACCACCCCUCUUAGUUUUUCACCAUUUGAAAAACUCUACAAACAUGCUCCUGAUUUUUCAUCUCUAAAUUUUUUUGGGUGUGCUUGUUUUCCUUUUCUUCACCCAUUCAAUUGCAACAAACUUGACUUCAGAUCUAAACGUUGUGUCUUCAUUGAUUAUAGCAACUCUCAUUAAGGAUUUAAAUGUCUUGAUAAAUCCAUUUGCAAGAUAUUUGUUUCAAGACAUGUGAUUUUCGAUGAAGGGUCUUUCCCUUUUGCUAACUAAGACGCAAACCUAAUAUCAAAGAAUCUUCUCAACCUAAAAGUUUAAGCUAUUAGAUGAGGUCCCAAGAUAUGAUUUAUAUUAUUCUUUAACAUACCCCCUCAAGUGAAAGUUAUUUGGGCUUGAAACUUGUAUAGACUCACACUAUUUUGUGCUUAAUUUUUAUCAAUUAAAUGGGGAUGAUGAAAUUCAAACUCAUGAUCACUUGGUCAUCAAGGCUUUGAUAUCAUGUCAAAUAACCAUCUCAACCUAAAAACUUAAGUUAUUAAAUGAAGUCCUAAGAUAUGAUUUCUAUUAAUCUCUAACAAUUCGAUAGUUUUACCCAUAUUUACCUAGCAUUUUGUUCAUGUUCUAUAUAUAAAAUACCUUGAUAAUAUUUCUUUUAUAUUUUAAAGGCACUUUUGGAUGUGAAAUUCUAAAAUGAGUAAAUUAGAGAUAAAAUUCAGACCAUGUUUCAUCUCGCGUCGAAUAUUGGCAGAUUUAACCUUUGAUCGAUGUUUUAUGCAGAACUUGAGUUGUAAAGGUCGAAAUGAAGUGAUUCUAGUGGCAUUAGAAAGCUAACAUCCAUACCCUUCUAUAAGUAUAUGGCAAGAAAAAAAAGAAGGAAAUCACAGCUUUCAAAGAAAAGUAUUGCAUUCUGCCAGUUUUGAUCUUUGGUGAUUCUAACUUGAAUAUCUUGAGGUAGAGAAGUCCAUUUGAUGCAAACUCAAUUUUGUUGGAUUCGUGACUCAGAUAAAUAUCAACCUACCAAAUUUCAACCUAUUCAAAGAGCUCAUAUUAGAGAGAUAUGAUUUUUCUAAGACAACCUAUAAAUUCUACCAUAGACAGGUUUUGUGAAGCAAUAAGUCCAACUUACUUAAAUGUAGAUUGUUUACUUUGUAAAGGACUAUUUUUAUAUUUUUUAGGAGAGUAAAAAUGGUUUGGAGGAAUGUGGGGAUUAGGAUUUCCUAUCAAAUAAAAAGAAAGAGAGAAAGAAAAGGAUGAGGCAGCUAGAAAGAAGAAGAAAACCCCACUCUUUUCUCCUAUACCAGAAAUUAUGUUCUCAUAUAUUUUAUUCAUUAGUUUUUCAAUAGACAUGCAAGGCUAAGUAAUUUUUCUUGAUUGAAAGGAUACAAAAACCUUCGAAUUUCAAAAAAACUGUGAGAUUUAUUCUAUCUUUUCAGUUUAUAUGAUGAGUAUGAAUGUUUUUCUAUGCUUAUUUCCUAUGAUUGUUUAGUUUGAUUGUUAGAGCGGACUCUAAGUUAUUAUUCUAGACCAAUAUAUGGCUAAGUUUGCUAUCAAAACCAAAGUUGUGAUAUUUGAACUUGUGAAGCGACUAACUUUAAUAAUUAUGAUGGAUUUAUGUUGUUAAUCUUGUCAUAAUCCAUUUUUAGGUUCUUCCAAAUUACAUUUCUUUUUUUUUUUAAAAAAAAAGAACACUGAAACAGUGUCGUUUUGAACGGCACUGUUCUCCUUCUUCCCUGCGCAUGCAGAGGCAGGGAAGAAGAAGAUUUUAAAUCAUUUUUCCCGCUCUCUCUCUCCACCCCACUUGCCCAAAAAGCCCGCAUGACCCAUACCCACACAACCAUACCCUGCAAGCAUUAUGGAAGAAAAAUGAGACGGAGACCCAUGCCCUGCACUUGAACAGGGUAUGGCGAACCUCUCCCCAACUGCCUAUAAAUACAAAGGAACGCGCAGAAGAAUGAGGAGGGGGGAGAAAAGAAAAAAAAAGGAAACCAGGGGGGGCGGCAAAAUUUUAGAGAAGGAACAGGGGAAGAAGACGAGAGGAGGAGGGGGAGGAGAAGGAACAAAGGAGAGGAGGUCAGCCAUUACAGCCAUCUCACAGCAGACUAGAGAGAGAAGCAACCAAACAGAAACGAGGAAAUGAAAACAGAAACAGAGAGGAGAAAGACAGCAGAAAAACACGCGGAGAAGAGGGAACCGUCGACCGGCCAGAAUCAGCUCCCCAGGCCGCCGCCACUAGCACCUCCACGAAGCCGCUGCAGAGAGGGGACAUUGUUGACAAAGGGAACAAAAAAACAGAGGAAGAAAACAACACAGCGAAGCAGAGGAGAGAAGGAAAGACAGCCGCUGCCCCGGCCACCUUCCACCACCGCUGACGACCACAACCGUGCUUUCCCGCUCCAGGUAACUUUCUCCCCUCCUCUGCCGUUUUUAUUUGUUCAUCUUCAUUUGCAUGCAGAACGUGAGCAAUUCACGUUCUGCAGCAAAUGAAGAUUAAUUAGCUAGUUACUGUGCACAGCACAGUAACUAGCUAAUUAUAUUUUGGCUGGUUACUGUGCGCACUUUUGUUCGUUUUGGGCUGGAACAUUAGCCCAGACCACGCGGCUGGGCUGAGUCCAGCCUUGUAGCUGGGCCAAUACAGGCCCAGCUCACAUAAUUGGGCCGGGUCCGGCCCAGUUCCAUUUUAAAAAAAUAAAAUAUUUUCAAAAAUUAUGAUUUUCCUUUGUAUUUUUUUACGCCAUUUUGAUUAAUAUCGGUCUGUAUUUUUUUAUCGUAAAGAUACAAAUCCAGUAUUAAAAUACCCGGUUUUUGUCAAAACAUAAAAAAAAACAUGUUUUUGUUUUCAUGCAUACGGCCAAGUCUCUCAAAGCUAAAAAAACUAUUGUAUUUUCAUACAACAAAGAAAACUUCAAAAAACAAACAAAAUGUUUUAGCAUGCAUUUUUGGCUUUAAUAACCAGUUUAUUAAAAUCACGAGAACUUGACCAAUAUUUCAAAAAUUCUAAAAAAAUUUAUUUUGUUUUCUUUUAAUAUCCGGGAUUACAAAUUUACACGUAAAAUGUACUCCCGAUAUUAAAAAGGUAGUUUUUCUUAUUUGACGUUAGAACGAGUAGAUUUUUACCCGAUAAGAUAAGGACCUCCUUACCGAGGAGGACUUUUCUUAAACCAUUGACAAACCAAAAAUUAGAAAACACAACGAGACCUUAGUUUUUAUCAGACAAUAAAACAAUGCAGCUUACCUUGGGUAGGGCGUAUUUGAGGUGCUAAUACCUUCCCUUUACGCAACCAGUCUCCGUACCCGAUCUCUGAGACCAGUUAGGGUUCCUAGUGACCAUAAUACUAGAUGGCGACUCCAUUCCAUAUUUUUCACUAAUAAGAGACAAGAAUUCCUUGUCUCUUCAUAUUUGCCAAAUAGAUACACACAUAUGAGUGUGGAGGAUGAUCGUCGAAACGCCGUACACGUGCGACAAAUCUUAGGGAAAACAUUCAACUAAAUCGACAAUAUAUUACAAACAGUUAUCUUAGGGAUUCCUGCCGCAAGAAAGGUUUUUUCCCAAGUUUGCAGGGACACAAUUGCAAGAUGCUUAAAGUUUGAAGACCAGUUGCAGGCUAAUUUGAAUCUUUUUUUUAGACCAAGGACCAAAUGGAAAAGGUGCUAAAACAAGAAAGUUGAUUGAAGAUAAAAUUAGAAAGAAAUUUUGCCGGAUGAAGAAAUUGAAGAACAGAGAUUCGAUCAGAAAAGGAAAAUAGGGAAGCUGAUCACAUUUUGCUCUCAUCAGAAAAGGAAAAUAGGAGAGCUGAUCACGUUUUGCUCUCAUUUUUACGAUUGUCAUUUUGAGAACGACCCCUCCCCCGUCUGAUUUCUUUCCUGCACAAACCUUCCCGGCUGAGUUCUUUCCUUUUUUCUCUGCAAAUUCCUGUUGUUUUCCUUUAUCAUCACACCUGAUUUUUGGAGCUGCAACCACGUUUUUAUUGCCUCAUUUCAAAGGGAGCAGCUGGCUUCAUAGUCCCAGCUAUGGAAGGAAAGAAAGGAGCCACAUCAUCCUCUAAAAAAUAAAACUUGAAAGAAAUCAGAUAUGAUCACAAAAUCAGAAUCAAAAUAUUUUGGUUUCCUAUUUCUGCUCACCCGAGAUUACACCCUAGAGUUAAUGUAAUAUUUGUUUCCUAAAUAAAGCCUUGUAUAGGCUAUAUAGAAGCCUCGACUGCUGACCUAGAGGAGGAGGAAAAAACGAGAAAAGAAAGACAAAAAAACGCAAGAGAGGCUGGCAGUAAGAGAGAGAAGGGAAAAACGCAGAGAGCAGGGGUUCAUCUUUUCGACUGUGAAAGUCUUCACAGGAACGAAGUUACAGAAAAAAAAGAGAGGAGGAGGACGAAAAAAAGAGAGAGAAAGAGGACACGAAAGAGGAGAGAAAAAAAAAAGAAAAGGAGAGGAACGAAAGAAAAAAGAAAGCAGAACGCCACUGUCAAAAGCAGAAAAACACAGAGGCAGGGGCGUGAACUCAACCAUGCAUAGCACGUUUUCAUCGCCGUCUCCCUCAUCAUCUCCACAGAGAGCAUCAGCAGAAGGAAAGAAAAGGAACAGAGAUCAUCAACCGGCGUGGCCAUCGUUUUCACUGUCCCCAGAAGCAGUGACCACCGGCUGUGCGCAGAAGCUGCAGUACCGUUGUCUUCAUCCAUCUCAGUUACCAGAGAGGGAGAGAAAGAAAACACAGAAAACGGGACAAAGGAGGAGAAAAAAAAAAGGGAUAAAGCGCAGGAAAAACGAAAAACCAUAAACCAGCAGGACUGCCUUUAAUUCGGUCUUUGCUUUCAUUUUUUGCAUAUAAAAUCUGCAGAACAGGGAAGAAGAAAGUGCAGAAAACCAGUAGAGAGAGAGAGGCACGGAGAUUGCAGAGGUGAAACUCAGAAGAAGAACGCCAACAUAGAAUAGGGGGAAAGAACUGAAGCAGACGGCAGCACUGAUCGACUAGCCUGCAAGCCUUCAAACAUCGCCGUUGUCCUUUCGUUCCCAGGUCUGUUCUCUUCACCUCCCGCACCAUGCAUUCUUUUUGCAUGCACCAUGCAUUGUUCAAGUGAAUCUUAAUUCACUUGAACAGUAACGUGGUCUCUUUGCAUGCAUUUUGCCUUGUUUCAUUGAGAAGACUGCGCCCCUUUUUUUUUUUGUCCAGCCGGGUCAGUUGCUUGGGCAAGUGACCUGGCCGGACAUGCUGUUUUCUUUUUCUUUUUUUUCUUUUAAAAAAAUAAAAGAAAAAGAAAGAGAUUUAUGCUUUUCUAGCAUAUUUAUCUUAAGAUCUGAAUUUUUUUUAUGUUGUAAAAAAAACACUACCAGAAAUUCGCUAAAUACCAACGGAUUUACCGACGGAAAAGUUUCUGAAUUUUAAAAAAGGCGGGUCGCUGACGUGGAGGUUUUGGCGGGUUUUAUUUUCCGACGGAAUCACCGACGGAUUCAAAAACGAUUGCCCGUACAGUGCCCGUAAAGUGAUGUGACCGGUUCGCAGUUUAAAUUUCCGACGGACUCACCGAGGGAUUUGAAAUGGCAGAUCUGUACGGUGACAUGUCUAUGUUUCCGUCAGAAUCACCGGUGUAAUAACCGACGGAGUGUCCGUCGGUAAAACCGUCGGAAAAAGUUAAUAUAUGACAGCUCUGCCGACCCUCUCAUCCCUUAUUUCUCCUUCUUCUUCCUCAUCCCAACUCUCCCUAUCUGCAAACAACCAGCCCCCCUCCCCCCCCAAAAAAAAAAUCUUCCUCAUAGCAGCACAACAAGUUAUAUUUCUUGAAGUUUUGUGGUCACAGCAUCCGCGCGUGUUCUGAUUUACCGACGGAUUUUAUCAAUUUUUAUAAGUAAUUAUAUCUUUUUAAAUUUUAACAUUUAAUUAAAUGUCAAUUUUAUUGUUUUUUUAGUAUAUGUAUUUUAUUAGUAGAUGUACAUGUUUUAUUGUUAUUUCUCAAACAAACUUGUAGUAUAUGAAUGUAUAAUUUUGUACCUGUUAUGGUUUGUUUUAGAUUUUGUAAGAUUGUAUUUGUUUGUAAAUUGUUAUUUCUUUAUGGAAUUACCGAAUUACAUGUGCUAUUUUGAAAUAAUUAAUAGCUUGCUUAAUGGGCCCGUUUAAAGUUUUAUCAAUGGUAUUGCGGAGUGGUAAUUUCUGUAAAUUUAUAUUUUUUAAUUCGUAUGGACGUUGAUAAAUGAUAAUGAAUAUUUAAUAUUUAUGAGAAGUUGUGAUUGGUUUGUUGGAUAAUCUCGAGUUAAAGUAAUAUUUGUACAAGUUUAUUUACCUAACUUAGUUAAUUAAUACAUGAUGUCAUCAUAAUUUUAUAGAGGUUCGAUAUAAGUCAUGGAUGAUCGUUCAUGGAUGUAUCGAGAUUCACCCCAAGGAUUGCGGAGGAUGGAUUAUUGUAAUGGGGUUCAGGGUUUUAUUAAUUUCGUAACAUCUAUUCCCAGAAAUUUUACUGGAGGCGGUAUUAGGUGUCCAUGCAGGAAGUGUGAAAAUAAAAAGUAUCUGCAUCCAGAUGUUGUAAUGAUGCAUCUUCUACACAAAGGGUUUAUGGAGAAUUACCAGUGUUGGUAUGCACAUGGAGAAGUAUUUGUUAGCGAGAGUGAGAGGAGAAUGGAAGAAACGAUGGUUGGGUCUACUUCUAGUGCUAGUAACGUGCAUGAAACGACAAAUGACAACACUAAUCCUUACAGAAAUAUGGUUAUGGAUGCAAUGAGAAUGAAUCAAGGUAAUGGCAGUCAAUGUCCAAUCGUAGAAGAAGAACCUAAUGUAGAUGCAGCUAGGUUUUUUGAUUUGUUGAAAGAUUCUGACGAACCAUUAUGGGAUGGCUGCACGAACCACAGUAAAUUAUCGGCCGUAGCACAGGUGUUCACCAUCAAGUCAGAUCACGGGUUGAGUGAGGCCGGGUAUGACAAGAUUAUUGAAUGGGCAAGAAGCAUUUUACCUGAAGGGAACAGGCUGAAAGAGAACUUCUAUGCUGCGAAGUCCAUGAUGAAACCCCUCGGUUUAGGAUACCAGAAAAUUGACAUGUGCCCUAACUUCUGCAUGUUAUACUACCUUGAAAAUGCUGAGAUGACCGAGUGCAUGACAUGCGGGCAUUCCCGUUACAAACCUAGAACUGGCAGGGGAAAGACUCUAGUGGCAUAUAAAAAACUUAGAUACUUCCCGAUCACACCUAGACUGCAGAGGUUAUUCAUGUCACCAAGGACUGCUGAGUACAUGACAUGGCACCAAGCACACCAUGCGGUUGAUGGAGUGAUGGUUCAUCCUUCUGACGGCGAAGCGUGGAAACGCUUUAACAGUGUUCAUCCUCACUUUUCAGUUGAAUCAAGGAAUGUGCGUCUUGGGUUGUGUACAGACGGAUUCAACCCAUUUGGGUCAUUUGCUGCUCCUUAUUCUUGUUGGCCGGUCAUACUCACAGUUUAUAACUUGCCACCGGGAAUGUGUAUGAGGCCGGAGUUCAUGUUUUUAUCUACUGUCAUACCCGGUCCAAGAAGCCUGGGGCGGAAUAUAGAUGUUUGUCUUCGACCGUUGAUUGAUGAGUUGGCGCAGUUGUGGUCCUCCGGAGCUCUGACUUAUGAUAUAUCGAGGAAACAAAAUUUCCUUAUGAGGGCGGCAUUGAUAUGGACUAUCAAUGAUUUUCCAGCUUAUGGAAUGCUUUCUGGUUGGAGCACACAUGAGAAACUCGCAUGUCCAUACUGCAUGGAAAACAACAAGGCAUUCACGCUAGCAAAUGGAGGUAAAGCUUCUUUUUUUUACUGUCACCGUCGCUUCUUGCCACUUCAUCACAGGUACAGAAAGAACAGAAAAGAUUUCUUUGUUGGCAGAGUUGAAAAAGAUGUUGCAUCCCCGCGUCUUUCUGGUGAAGAAUUGCAUGAUGUUGUCUCAGAGUACGGUGACAUUGUGUUUGGCCUUCAAUCAGGAAAGCAAAAGUUUCUUGGUUUUGGUUUGACCUAUAAUUGGGUAAAGCGAAGUAUCUUUUUUGAGCUUCCUUAUUGGAAGACCAAUCUGCUUCGCCAUAACCUUGACGUCAUGCACAUCGAAAAGAACAUGUUUGAGAAUAUUUUCAACACCGUCAUGGAUGUGAAGGGGAAGACAAAGGACAACAUCAAGGCUAGAUUGGAUAUAGCUUUAUAUUGUAACCGAAAAAAUAUGGAGUUGGUUUAUGAUGAGUCACGGGUCGCAAAACCAAGAGCAAGCUUCGUGUUAGAGAGACAUACAACAGCGGUGUUUGUGUUAAGGGAUCCACUAGUAGUGAGUUAGAAGUUGACUACUAUGGUAGAUUAGAAGAGGUCGUCGAACUGCAAUAUCAUAACGAGCAGAAUAUAGUGUUUUUAUUCAAAUGCUAUUGGUAUGACACGACUGACAGAGGAAUCAGAGUUGAUCCGCACUAUGGUCUGGUCGAAAUCAACUCAAAAGCUAGACUCCGCAACAUAAACGAUGUCUUUGUUUUCGCAAAGCAAUGUCAACAAGUUUAUUACACAUACACCCCUUCAUUUAGAAAGGAUCGAUCAAGAGUGGAUUGGUUGUCCGUUUUAAAAACAAAACCCCGGGGUCGUGUCGAGGUUGUUCAGGAUGAGAACGAAGACACAAGUGUGCGAGAUGAAGUCUUUCAAGUUAGUGAGGUGGUUGAACCAUAUCGAGUUGCUCCUUCGAUUGAAUUGGAAGAAAAUUCAAAUUUUCGUGUUUUCGAUGAUAGUCUUGUUGAUGUUGACGCAGAUGAGUUAAAUUUUGUUUUGAGCUCUAGCGGACAACCAAAUAUCGAUGAAGAAGAUGAUAUUCAUAUUGAAGAUUGCGAUGAAGGUGAUGACAAUUCAAUUGAUGACGAAGAAGAAGAAAAUUCUGACUAACUACCAAAAUGAAGCCCUAUGUAAAACCCUUUUUUACAUGUAAUUUCGAUUAUGAAUGAUAUAUAUAUUUUGAAACACAAAAUAUUUAUUACUUGAAAUAAUUAGUUGAAAUGCCACAAUUAUGAUGGAUGCUAUAUUUUGUGACAUGAAAUAAUUACUUGAAAUGCCACCCUAUCACCGACGGCCUUACGUCCGUCGGCAUUUCACAGAGAGUUCGAAAAUAAUUACUUGAAAUGCCACCCAAUUACAGACGGCAACACCGACGGAAUUAGUCCGUCGGUGUUUCACAGAGAGUUCGAAAAUAAUUACUUGAAAUGCCACCAGAUCACCGACGGCCUUAAGUCCGUCGGUGUUUCACAGAGAGUUCGAAAAUAAUUACUUGAAAUGCCACCCAAUUACAGACGGCAACACCGACGGAAUUAGUCCGUCGGUGUUUCACAGAGAGUUCGAAAAUAAUUACUUGAAAUGCCACCAGAUCACCGACGGCCACACCGACGAAUUUAAAUACGUCGGUAAGUUGUCGGCGGUUCAAUUUUACUGACAACAUUACCGACGGACUGCGCGAAUUUCAAAGGGUUGCGCAUUUAAUGCGCCUCUGACCGCGUAAUAUUGCCAACGGAAUUACCGACGGACCACGAAAAAUAUGGAGGGUUAUUAAAAAUUUUGGUGCGAAAUUCAAACUUUGCCGACGGAUUUUUAACAUAUCACCGACGGAAUAAAUUAAAAUAAUAAUUAAUUUUAUAUCCGUCGGUGAAUCCGUCGGUAAAACUGCCAUAUAAGUUCAAGUGACCGCCCGUUCAGUUCAUUUUUUCUUCUCCUUCGUUUCUCACCUUAAGCUUUUGAUUUUUUUCCUCUCCAUUCUUCAAAGCUUUCACCUCCAAUCUCUAGCAAGUUUUCUUCAUCAUCUUCAUCAGUUUAAAAGGUUAGUAUUUUCUCUAUUUCAUUUUACUUUAAUAGUUUUUUUUUGCUAUUUUUUUGGUUAUUUUUUUUGUUUUGGUGUAUUUUUUGUAAUGUAGAUAAAGUCUAUAGUUUUUUUUGCAUAAUUCAUUGCUAAAGUAUAUAGUUUUUUUUUUGAAUUUUUUUUAUUGUUGUAUUGGCAUAAUUAUUAUUAGUUAAUUUGAUGAAUUUUUAUUGUUAAUGUUGAAUUUACCAUAGAAUUAGUAAUUGAAUAUGUUGGAAUAAUUAUUAAUUUUACUUUAUUAUUGCAUGAUUUGUGUUUAAUUUGUUCCAUUUAUUUUGAUUGUUAUUCUAGAGUUUUUUUUUUUAAUUUAUUGUUUUGUUGUAUUGGCAUAAUUAUUGAAUAAUUACUUGAAUUGUAAUUGUUAAUGUUGAAUUUACCGUAGAAUUAGUAAUUGAAUAUGUUGGAAUAAUUAUUAGUUUUACUCUAUUAUUGCAUGCUUUGUGUUUAAUUUUUUCCAUUUAUUUUGAUUGUUAUUAUAGAGUUUUUUUAUUUAUUUAUUGUCUUGUUGUAUUGGCAUAAUUAUUGAAUAAUUACUUGAAUUGUAAUUCUUAAUGUUGAAUUUACCUUAGAAUUAGUAAUUGAAUAUGUUGGAAUAAUUAGUAUAGAUUGGGUAAAUUGGUUGUGGCUAUUGUUAAUAUGUGCAGGUUUGUGGAUUUGGGUAGUAUCCGGUAUAGGGGAGGUGCUGUCGAAAUUUUUUUUUACAUUUGAAUUUAAUUAUAUAAUUAUUUGUAUCAAAUUGUGUAGAUGUGUAGAACGAAAACCAGAGCUGGUCGCUCAGGUGCGGUCGCAGCUAGUUCAUCUAGCAGCGAGGAUGAUAUUUCCUUAGGUGCCUCUCAAGAAGAGGCACCUACACCACCUGCGCCGUCAACCGAUGUUGCCUCUUCCAGCGGUACUUCACAGCGCAGAGGCGGCAUGCCUUCGCAGCGGAAUCAAUUUACCCGCAAGUACAAGGCACAGUGGAAGGACGACCUUUCAAUGUAAGUUUGUUAAGGUUUUAGUUUUUUUUAUCAAGUAAUCACUAUUGAAUUUAUUUCAUUUAUUUUCAGGUUCACAAACAUUGAAGCCGCCCGAGUAAUAUCAUCGGCGUUUAAAUCGUCGAUGGAGAUUCCAUUGUUUCAAUGGAGUCAGAUAUCCAAGCAUCCUGAAUGGAUGCCUCAAAUCAAUGCAUGGUUUAACAGGUUUGAGGUUGGUAUUAAUUUAUAAUUUUCAGCUUAUUAAUAUAAUUGUAUUAUUUUUAUUUAAACUUAUUUAUUUAUACAAAGCACAAAUUCUGCUGGGACAUUGAGCAUAACGCUGUUGUAAGGAGGGUGUGGGAAAAUCACGCGGCAACUAGGUAAGAUCGAAAACAAUACAGGAUUUUUUUUAGACAAAAAUUUAUGUUUCGAAAUGUAAUUUUUGGUUGCGUGAAGCAGGUUGCGUGAUUUUUGGUAUGAAGCACAGAAAAAGGCAAAAAAAACCGCGAGGGAUAGGGGUUUCCAAGCCUGGAACGAUGUUGCGGUUUGGAGGGAUUUCAAACCGAUAUACAUCCCGGAAGAUAUAUGGCCGCACUAUCUUGAGCACGUGACGUCUGAGCGGUUCACACGACGCUCACAGUCCGGUGCUGGCAACCGGAAUCGGCCAAUUCAUGGCGGGGUGACAACUCACACUGGCAGCUCCGUUCCGUUUGCUGCACAUGCGAAACGGAUGGUAAGAUUAAUUUAAAUAAAAUAUAUCGUUAAAUUCAGUUGUUGUUAAUAUAUCUUUUUUCAUUAUAGGAUGCGUCUCUUGGACGUGAGCCGAGCCCGAUGGAGCUGUUUGUGGAGACGCACGUGCGGAGUCAAGACCGCCAGAAGGGGGCGCAACAGUUCGUUGAUAACCGUGCUCAGCAUUUCGUGGUAUGUUUGUUCAACCAUUUUAUUUUGUAAGUUAUUAUGUUUAUUGUAUUGAAUAUGAUGAUUACUUUUUUUAUUUUAUUUUCAGGAGACCUAUAAUAAUCGGUUGAGGGAGAGAUACGGGGACGAUACCUUGACCCAUCCGGAAUUCGAUCCGGAUUUGUGGAUGGAGGUUGGCUCGUCAGGUGGACCAGAUAAAAAUCGGGUUUACGGGCUCUCCAACACUACGGCCGACAACUUGCGGUCGACCCGUAGUGUUUCAACCGUUGGGAGCUCCCAAUCAAUAGCGAGCUCCCAAUCUAAGGAGUUCGUGGCUUUGCAGCAACUCAACGAGAAAUACGACAACCUACAAGCGGAGUACGCACAACUCAAAGCGUCUCAUGCACAACAAAGAGCGGAGUCUGAGCAAUUCAAAGCGUCUCAAGCACAACAAAAAGCGGAGUAUGAAGCGGCUCAGGAACAACAAAAAGUGGCUUAUGACCAGCUUUACGAAAUGAUUAUGAAAUUGUCAAAUAGCGGAACAUAUGCGCCUAAUCCUUUUUGGCCGUAUAACCACCAGCCUCCGCCAGGAUCUCCUCCUCCUCCUCAAGCUCCAUCAUCUUUAUAUUAAUUUGUAAUCAACAUUAUUUACCUUUAAAACUUCAUUUAUUAUUUUUCUUGAAACAUAUUCAGUUUGUCAUUCAUAUUAUUUAACUUCGUUUUUUUUUUAUGUUUAAUAAAAAUUUUAUUUGCAUAAUUGGUUUGUAUAACAAUUAAUUUAUAUAGUUUUAUAUUAUAUAUCCUAAAUAAUUUUUUAAAAACAAAUUAAGAAAAAAACUAUUACCAAGGAUUUUACCGAUGGAUGAAUUCGGUCGGUAUUUUAAACUUUCACCGACAGAAUUACCGACGGAAUUAAUCCGUCGCUAUUUAACAGUAGCUUCCACCAGUACCGACGAAUGUACAGACGGAAUUAAUCCGUCGGUAUUUCAUACAUUCACCGACCGAUGUAACGACGGAUAUUUUCCGUCGGUAAUUUAAAUUUCACCGAUGGAAUGAAAAUUCGUCGGUAUAUUUCAAGCGGGAAUCUUUUUUUUUGGCGCGCACGUUCCGUCUAUAAAACCGCCAGUAAAUGAUUUUUUUGUUUUUCCGAUGGAUAUACCGACGUAAUGAGGAAUCACCGACGAAGGUAAAGCCGACGGACGUAAAAAAAAUCACCGACGAACUUCUAAUCACACACCGACGGAAUUUUUCCGUCGGUAAAACUGUGAAAUCUUGUAGUGAAAUAUAUCAAUCUCGUAUUUAGAAUACCUAACAUGUUUUGAACGCUCUUUUUUAUACAAAAAAUAUUGGAAGUUUCGAAAAUGUGUUUUCGCAUAGAUUUCUUAAACACAACAAAAAUUAUUUUCUUGCAUUUCUGGAUUUUACAUCAUGUUUGUAAAACUCCAAAGGGUAUUGGCCAAUAUUCCAAAAAAAUAAAAAAAUUUAUUUUGGAGGGAAUUCAUCUAUUAUUCACCGUUAAUGUUUGGAUAAAGAAAUCUCAAAGGGAUAAAUAUCCAAAAUAUUAAGGGGAAUAACUUGUUAUUAUUCCCUAUUAAUAUUUGGAUAAAGAAACCCUAAGUGGUAAAUAUCCAAAAUAAUUUUCUAGGGAUAAUAAGUCAUCACACAUCCUUGAAAAAAGCCUUGAUUAUAAUCGAGGACAUUUCAAUUUUUUACUCCAUGGUUUACGAGCCGUGAGAGUAUAAAACACUAAGGCAAAAAUAAGCUUUUAAAGCGCCCUAGAUUUCUAAAUUUUUGUCCCUCCUCCUUGCGAUUUACGAGUCGCAAACUCUUGAAAUAUUAAGGGAAAAAUGAGCUUUUAAAGCACAUGGAAUCUCCUUGGAUUUCUAUCUUAAUAAAUUUAGUUUGAAUCAAACCUAGGAAAACUGAUGGGUUUAGAAAACACCAACACUGUAACAGUUAUAAAGCAAACCAAACACCAAACAACUUACCUUAGGUAGGGCGUACUAGGGGUGGUAAUACCUUCCCUUUACGCAACCAGUCCCUUGCCUUAGAAUCUCUGAAAGACCAGUUAGGAUUCCUAGUGACCAAAAUACUAGGUGGCAACUCCUUUAUUCACAAAACAAAAAAAACCACUAAAAUCAAUCGAGGGUCGCCGCGCUCCGCCGCGAGGGUGCGACAGGAUGGCGACUCCGCUGGGGACCCUAGGACUAGGCUUGGUAAUUUGUUUAUUUAUGCUAUGUAUUGUUGGUUUUUGUUUUUGUUUUUGUAUGAAUAAUACUUUGUUUAAAAGCUUUAGCUUGCAUCUUCACAUUCUGUCAUACAUGAUAUAGUCAUGCAUCCCUUUAUUAUUAUUAUCUUUUUGAGGGCACACACAGUAAACUUUAAGUUAAGUGGGGGACUAGCAGCUUGCCUUAUGACUUGAGUCAAGGUUUAAGUUUGUGCAAACCCCAACUCUUUGCUGAGUGUUUAGACUGAUAGUGACUGGUACACGUGUCAUCCCACUAUCUGCUGAACCCCCAUAUUGCCUUUACGAGGGGACAACAAGAGACCCUUUUUAGAGACCAAGUAGUAAACCUACCCUUUGUCUCACGUAAAGGAACUAGAACCUAUCCUUACGGUGUAUGCUCCAUAAUAUCUUUUGCAUCAAAACAAGUCUAACCCCCAAGGCAUCUUGAAUUGCAGGACUUGUGAACGAAAUGGCCACCAUUGCUAAAUUUUCCAUCAUAGAAUAUGGAAAAAUUCUGAACUGUCACAAUUGACUAAAGAAGACUGUCUUAGAAAUGAUGCUAAGAAGUUGUCACCAAUCAAGAAUCUGAAUUGCAUUAUGAAUGAGGUGAACAAGUUAACGGCUCACUUUUAGAAUGAGGUGAACAAGUUGUCACCAAUCGUACGUAGAGAACCCAUUUUGGUCACGGGGGAUUCGAUUUUUGGUUAAGAUUAUCAUACAAGUCAAAAUUGGGACACCAAUUGCCCCACGAUACCAUUAAGAAACCAAAAAAAUAAAAAUAAAAUAAGGCAGCGAUCUGCAAUGUUUUUUUACUAUAUUUAUAAUAAGGACAAAAAACCCUUUUCUUCAUUUAUUUUCUUAUUUUGGGCAUGGAUAGGGAUGAAGUAUCAGAGAACUGUCAUGCAACAGGAAGUGAGGAUUUUAUUCUUUAAUUUAAUUAUUGUACAAAAUCUUCCAACACUCAUUGCCCUAAGUUGCUUUAUAUAUAUAUCAAUCAAAUGUGCAAAUAUAUGUGGGUUUGUUUUUGCGUUCAAAAAAUUCUUUUCAAAAUUGUUCAAAAUCAUAAGAACUUACUUGGUGGGGAUGGGAUACUCCGGGAAGAACAUGCACAUAAGCUUGAACAGAGUUAGCAUAUGUCUUGGCUGAGCCGGUUAGGUACUUGAGGAUGUGAACGAUGCUAGCAUUGACAGUGGGUUGCAACAAUGGUCCAAGCACCAGCACUGGGUUCACCACCACUAGGUCAACUCCAUUCUUCUUAGCCACAUCCCAUGCAUCCUGUUCCGCCACAGUCUUUCCAUAGCAAUACCAAUUCUGCAAUUCCAAGAUGAACUUACAUCAAGAUGUGAAGGAUAGGCAAUUAGGAUUUCAAGAUGCAGUAAGCCCUAUGACGCUAGAAUAAUAAACUUACAUCAAGAUGUGAAGGAUAGGCAAUUAGGAUAGAGAUAUUUUUAUUUACACCCACUCUGUAUGCUUUGAGUAACCCAAGUGUAUGUGGGCACAAUAAUAGUUAUGUUAAUCAAUUAUCAUGACAUGUGAUUAAUUAGCAUAUAUUUUAUAUCAUGUUGAUUUAUUCAUCAAGUAAUAGCCGAUCCGUGCUCUAAUUAGGAGCUAUUUAAUUAUGUUAAUCAAUCAUCAUCACAUGUUAUUAAUUAAAUACCUUGGUGUUCUUGCAGAACUCAAGAUCACUCCAGCAAGAUUCAUCAACGACAACAUCAGGGCCCCUAUUGGGGUCCAUGUACACAGUACCAAUUGAAGACGUGAAAACCACUCGUCGGACUUUGGCCUCAGAUGCUGCCAUGAUCACAUUCUUGGUUCCAUUCACUGCUGGCUCCACCAUUUGCUCCUUCAAGUAUUGUAACACAAAAUCAUCAAAACCAAACUUGAAGAAAACAUACUUUGCCUCAUGAAAUUUCGAAAAAAAACUAAAAAAAAUGUACAGAAUCUUUUACUAACAUUUGUCGGUGACAUCCGUACUUAAAUUUACCGGCAGGCCUAAAAUUUGUCCUUGGAAGUCCAAGUGAUGUUUUUAUUUUCUUUUCUUAAAAUUCUCAGCAUCCAAACAAUAUUUUUACUGCCAAUGAACCGAAAAGAAAAGAAAAAAAGGAAACAUACUGGAUCGUCUGUGAGAGGAGAAGCAGUAUGGAAAACUCCAUCACACCCUUGAAUAGCCUCUUUAAGAGACUCAUAAUCAAGGAGAUCAGCCUUGCAUAAAGUUAAUCUUUCUUGAGCUCCUUCAAGCUCCCUCAAAUGGGAAUUCUUGGGAUCAGCUGUGUAUACCCACACAAAUACAUGUAGGGAAUUCCGACCGGUGAUGUUCUGAUAUUUGCUCAUAGGAGGUAAAGCACACUGACACAAUAUUUAACGUGGUUCGGCAAACUGCCUACAUCCACGGGAGAAGCCAUUGCAUUAUACAGGGAGAGAACAAGAUUUACAACAAUAGAGGAGGAGGAAUCAUCCCCUCUUUGGCAACUCUCAACCUCACUCUAUUUCUCUCUUUUCAGUGCUGCAAUGGCAGCUACUGCUGGCUGCCUUGGCAGCCCACUCUCUCCUACAUUUCUCACAUCUUUGGCUCUACACACUCUCUCAUUUUGCUCUCUAAUGUAUUCCUCUAUUUAUAGGCAUCCAUGGCAGCUCCUCCAGCUCUUUUGUCAACAAUGGUGGCUGCCAAACUUACCAAACUUUGACAUUAGACAAUGGUUGUUGGCUGCCACCAACAACCCACCAUUGCAGCCAUCUUCUUUGACAAUGGCAGCCACAUAAUUGGCAAUAUUCCAACAAUCACCCCCUUUGCCAUUUAUGUGGGCAAUUGUCCUCUUGCUUCUUUAGCACACGCUUGCAUCCUGCAGCUCUUCGAAGCUUACCAUUCCGAGAGCGUCUUUGGCCAAGUUUACAGGUACUUGCCAAACCUUUCAAUCGCCAGAGUCACCCAAGCACCCCUUUGCUCACUCCAAAGGAUCACUUCAACCAGAUGAUCUACCACAUCACAUCUGAAGAGUGUUAACGCUUGUCUCUAGGACACUGCAUUCCCCUUCAAGCAUAUCAACCAUGCUUGGCCCGGAAUGAUUUAUCAAGCCUUACAUCAAGGCUUACAACACCCCCUCAAACGGAUAUUUCCAAGUGCGACAGUCAUUGAGUAUUUUAAUGUGAUCUCGGGCUCACCACUUUUCCAAGAGUCUACUCAUCCCGGAGUUGCGUCUGCCCUCUGUUCCUCCCUAGGAACCACGCCUUACUUCUCUGUGAGUCUCUCUCUCUUAGUCUCAAGAGUCCAGGUAGCUCUCUACGUUAAACCAUGGGGGCAGCCCAUUAAAGGUUGAUCCAUCUCUAUCUUCAUACUCUGAGUAUUACAAUGCCAUUUACUGAGCUCACCACCUUGACAAGAGUCAACUUGUUCCCGGAACCUGCGCAUGCCCUCUGCUCCUUCAUAGCAGUCACGUCUUAAUGCUCCACAAGUCACACACUUAUUGUCCAAGGCAAAUGUCUUCUAGCUCAUUAAUCUUUAGCAUGGGGGCAAUAUCCAUGAAAGUCAAUCCUGUAUUUUCUCCAUACUCAUCAUAACCACUUCAUUGGCUAUCCAUACACCUGUCCACUUGUAUCCAGCCAUCACAUCGGUCUUUAGGGCGUUCUGAAAUUGGGCUCCUAUCAUGGCCCUCACACCUUCUCCUGAGGUGUCUCUGUCUGUCGUCAUGAGACGGUCUGAACUUGGACUCAUAUCAUGGUCCUCACACCUUCCAUCCUGAGGUGUCUUCGCCUGUCUUCAUGAGACGGUCUGAACUUGGACUCAUAUCAUGGUCCUCACACCUUCUGUCUAAGGUGUCUUCGCCUGUCGUCAUGAGACGGUUUGAACUUGGACUCAUAUCAUGGUCCUCACACCUUAUAUCCGAGGUCUCUCCGCAUGUCGUCAUGAGGCGGUCUGUACUUGGGCUCCUUUCAUGGCCCACACACCUUUUUGCCUGAGGUGUCUCUGCUCGUCGUCAUGCGGCGGUUUCUACUUGGGCUAGUUUCAUGGCCCACACACCUUCUGCCUGAGGUGUCUCCGCUCAUCGUCAUGUGGCGGUUUGUACUUGGGCUCGUUUUAUGGCCCACACACCUUCUAUUUGAGGUGUCUCCGCUCAUCGUCAUGUGGCGGUUUGUACUUGGGCUCGUUUUAUGGCCCACACACCUUCUAUUUGAGGUGUCUCCGCUCAUCGUCAUGUGGCGGUCUGUAUUUGGGCUCGUUUCAUGGCCCACACACCUUCUGCCUGAGGUGUCUCCGUUCAUCAUGAAGCGGUCACAUCCUCCUUCAUCGGGGAUGUCUCCAGUGGCUCCAAGAUUCUCUACCACCAUGUGGACUUGGGAGAGAUCACUGCCACUGAUCACAUAGAAAGAGAGAGUUGUGGUGCACUCUUCGCAAUCUUUCAUCUCAUUUUCUAUGUUUGGAGCUUCUAUGCCUUUCUGUUUGAUAGCUCCACCCACACCAACUAUCUUUGGUGUCUUCGCCUUUCAUCGGCGGUCGCACCCCCUUAAUUAGGUGCUUCUGCAACAGCUCAUCUUUCCAUCCUUGCAUGCAUUGGAAAGGUCCUCGUUUGUUGCCUUUAUCAAGAGCACAAGAGACUUCCUGUUGUACAACUUUUCACACAGUCUCUACUCUGAGCUUCAUCUGGGAACUCUUCUUCUCCUUGCAUCUGUUGUCUCAUUACAGUACCUCGUUGGAUCCUUCGGGUACUCCUGCACAAUCUCCGUGUGCUCUCGUGCAAUUUCGGUUCUCCAGAUUUCUCCCUAUUCUUUGCUUUUAUGUUUGACAGCAGCUCAUCCUGUCACAACAUUUAUUCAAGUCAAAAUAGGGUGCCAAUCUUUAUCCCUUGUUGUAUUUCUCUUCCAUUAUCAGGGUCUUCAUUAAUUAUCCCUUCGAGAAAUCACAGUCACCGAAUCUAACUUCUUUGGAGAAAUCACCACUCCAUCAGAUCCUUGAACAUAUAGAACCCAACUGUUCCUUUGUGCCGUCAUCUUGCUAGUCUUCAACAGUUUCAUUACAAACUGUUACAUAUACAAAAAUAGUACUGUGUGGAUGAUCCUUCAACUAAGCAAGUUCCCAGGAAAGAUUUGGAGGGGUCACACUGGUCCCGCUUAAAACCCAAUCUCCUAGACAGAACUUCUUAGAACGUAUCUAUCCACCGUACUGCCUUUUCGUAUAUACAACCAUUUGCUAGCUUUGUUGCGGCUUUCCUUUACAAGUGAUCUGGGGUAUCCCGGUUUUAUACCUGAUUUCUCAACAUUUGGCGAGACUACCAGUUCUUAGAUUCGUCAAGAUUGGUCUUCAUCAAAUUUCCACUCUCCACCUCAAAUUGUCCACUUGAUUGGGUGUCUAGAGUGUCCCAAUUUUACCUUCCCUCAAGGCAAUUAAAAUUCUCUCCACUUAGCAGUUCAGCACAUGUAAUUGGGUAAACAUGUGUGACAUGUUCUUCUUCAUCUCCAUCGACCACCAUGAUGACCUUUAGAUGCCUCCUGAUCGGGCAAUCUCUUUUGUUAAUUCACCACCACCACUUUCGGUCUCAAAUCUCAACGAUCGGACCGUACCAUUGCAUUCAGAACGAUCCAAUUAGCUGGAAACAAGUCUGAAAUCGUCCAAAUCGCAUUUCAGACGGCUACGAUUUGAUCAAAACAAUUCUGGCCUGAUGAACGGCCCAGAUUCAAUAUCAGAUCCGGUUGCACAUAGACUCUGCUGCACAGAAUCUUAUCCCUCGGCUCGCGGCUCGGCUCAGCUUCACAACGGCUCGGCUCAACUCGGCUCAACUCGGCUCAAGGUGGGUCCCACUUUGCUGACGUGUCUGCUGACUGGUCGAUGAUGUGGCUGCUGACAUGGCAUGCCUACUGUGCAUGCUGACAUCACACUUACAUCAGGCUGAUGUCAUCUCUGGCAUGCCUACUGUGCAUGCUGACAUCACAAUUAUGUCAUGCUGACGUCAUUAUUAUCCGGGUCAGCCAUGUGGGUCGGGUCAACUGGUAUUCGGGUCGGGUCAGCCCAUCCGGGCGAAGAAGACGCGUGGCACGCGUGGGGCGCGUUUGCGCGCGUAGGCUGACGCCUUGCCGGAGAGUGCGGCCAUGUCCAACGUCUGAUUUUGACGCCGUUUUCACCAGUGGCUUCGUCUCUUCCUCCUCUACACGGUGGUAUGGUCAAAACACAAUUUUGACAACUCUCAUUUUUGAGCAAAAAUCAAACACCACUUCAAACCAUAUGCUCUGAUACCAAUUGUAGGGAAUUCCGACCGGUGAUGUUCUGAUAUUUGCUCAUAGGAGGUAAAGCACACUGACACAAUAUUUAACGUGGUUCGGCAAACUGCCUACAUCCACGGGAGAAGCCAUUGCAUUAUACAGGGAGAGAACAAGAUUUACAACAAUAGAGGAGGAGGAAUCAUCCCCUCUUUGGCAACUCUCAACCUCACUCUAUUUCUCUCUUUUCAGUGCUGCAAUGGCAGCUACUGCUGGCUGCCUUGGCAGCCCACUCUCUCCUACAUUUCUCACAUCUUUGGCUCUACACACUCUCUCAUUUUGCUCUCUAAUGUAUUCCUCUAUUUAUAGGCAUCCAUGGCAGCUCCUCCAGCUCUUUUGUCAACAAUGGUGGCUGCCAAACUUACCAAACUUUGACAUUAGACAAUGGUUGUUGGCUGCCACCAACAACCCACCAUUGCAGCCAUCUUCUUUGACAAUGGCAGCCACAUAAUUGGCAAUAUUCCAACAAUACAGAGCAUUAAAUUAACACAAUCUUAAGAACAGAAAACGAAAAGGGAAAGAAACCAAGUGCUUAAUUAUUAUAAACUAACCUGGGUUCCUCACAGUUCCUUUAACAGAGUAACCUUUCUCUAGAAGAAGUUUAACAAUCCAUGAAGCAAUGAAGCCACCAGCCCCGGUGACACAGACAGUUUGGCCUUGGCAUGGAAGUGAUGAAAUAUCGACAGGCAUGUUGUUUUGAUAUGUGUAUUAUGUGUGCGUGUUUGGUGGUAGAACGAAGGAAGAGAGACAGAGAGAGGGAGGUGUUUUCCUUUUCUCUUGAUUUAGGUACGUGACUGAGUUUUUGUAAUAUGAAUCGUCAACACCAUGUCCUGAAUUUAUAGUUGUUAUUCUUUUAAGGUUUUGUGUGCUGGUUAAUCAUGAUGUUUACGUAAGCCUGCUCUUCUUCAACUUCCACCGCAUAAUCUUGUGUGCGAAUUGGAUUCAAUCCAAAAAAGAUUAAUGUCCAUUGAUUAAUAAAAUUCCUAAACCAGC